UCUAACACUGUGGUAUAUUAGGGGGGAAGAAGAUAAUGCACAAGGAACUACCCAGAUCCUCCUACCACACCCUGUUGCUGUAGUAUGAUUUGGUUCAAACUCAGUGACAACAGGCUGGACAUUCACCAACAGAUCCAAGGUCUUCAUCGGAUUCACCGGCUAAAACCAUCUAUCAACAAGCAUCUGUUGGCUCAUUUGCUGAGAAAUAAGGCACAACGUUGAAGGGAGAAAAGGGAGAUGCUGCAAUUCAUACAUAAUUCUUGUUUUUUUUUCUUUCAACAAUAAUUGCUAACAUCUUUGAGUGUCAGGUUCUUUGUGAACGGUACCCUCACAACACUGCCAUCAUGUAAACAUGUGAUGAUUUUCAUAUUGUAAAUGUGAAAGCAAAGGCUUACAGUUGACAGACUCAGUCUGUUCUCAAAGGGGAUUUAUGCCCCAUAGUGGGAACUUCUGGAAACAUGCUCUUGGGUACGGGUCUGUGGCAGCUGUCAGGAGGCCUUUUUUUUCCCCAAGCCAAACUGUAUUCAGCUUUAUUAAAGAUACUGUCCAUCAACACUCAUGGUAUUUCAGCA
rnacentral:lncRNA from 1 species